GUCCCUGUAGCUCAGUGGAUAGAGCGCUUCCCUGCGGAGGAAGAGGUCAGCCGUUCAAGUCGGCUCAGGGAUACAA
rnacentral:tRNA from 1 species